CUACGGGAGGCUGCAGUUAGGAAACUUCUACAAUGCACGCAAGUGUGAUAGAGCAAGCCAGAGUGGUUCUCUAAUAAUUGAGAACCUUUUAUGGGAUCUAAAAAUUCCUAUGAAUAAGGACUGGGCAAGACGAGUGCCAGCCGCCGCGGUAAUACUCGCGGUCCGAGUAGCAGCCACUUUUAUUGGGUCUAAAACAUCCGUAGCUUGCUUCGUAAGUCUCUUGUGAAAUCUGGCCUCUCAAGGGUCAGGCGUGCAAGAGAUACUGCGUUGCUAGAGACCGGGAGACGUAAGGAGUACGGUUAGGGUAGCGGUUAAAUGCGUUGAUCCUUUCUGGACUAACGAUAGCGAAGGCACCUUACGAGAACGGAUCUGACAGUGAGGGAUGAAGGCUAGGGGCGCAAAACGGAUUAGAUACCCUGGUAGUC
rnacentral:rRNA from 1 species